GACGAACGCUGGCGGCGUGCCUAAUACAUGCAAGUAGAACGCUGAAGGAGGAGCUUGCUCUUCUGGAUGAGUUGCGAACGGGUGAGUAACGCGUAGGUAACCCGCCUGGUAGCGGGGGAUAACUAUUGGAAACGAUAGCUAAUACCGCAUAACAGUAGAUGUUGCAUGACAUUUACUUAAAAGGUGCAAUUGCAUCACUACCAGAUGGACCUGCGUUGUAUUAGCUAGUUGGUGGGGUAACGGCUCACCAAGGCGACGAUACAUAGCCGACCUGAGAGGGGGAUCGGCCACACUGGGACUGAGACACGGCCCAGACUCCUACGGGAGGCAGCAGUAGGGAAUCUUCGGCAAUGGACGGAAGUCUGACCGAGCAACGCCGCGUGAGUGAAGAAGGGUUUCGGAUCGUAAAGCUCUGUUGUAAGAGAAGAACGAGUGUGAGAGUGGAAAGUUCACACUGUGACGGUAUCUUACCAGAAAGGGACGGCUAACUACGUG
rnacentral:rRNA from 1 species